UGCAUGCUUUUACAGUAUGAAAAUUGGUGAUUUAUAAUAACUUAGCAAAUCGCAAAGUGAAAACAGGCGAUAAAUCAUUCAAGUUUCUGACCUAUCAGCUUUCGACGGUAUGGUAUUGGCUUACCGUGGCAGUGACGGUUAACGGGGGAUUAGGGUUCGAUUCCGGAGAGGGAGCCUGAGAAACGGCUACCACAUCUAAGGAAGGCAGCAGGCGCGCAAAUUACCCAAUUCUAACAGUUUGAGAGAGGUAGUAACAAGAAAUAACAAUACAAGGCAGUUAAAAUGCUUUGUAAUUGGAAUGAUAGAAAUUUAAACCCUUUUUAAAGUAUCAAUUGGAGGGCAAGUCUGGUGCCAGCAGCCGCGGUAAUUCCAGCUCCAAUAGCGUAUAUUAAAAUUGUUGCAGUUAAAAAGCUCGUAGUUGAAGUUCUGCUGAAAGUAACCGGUCUGCUUUUAAUAAAAGUGGUAUCUUGGUAUGUAUUUAGCAAUGAUGUCCUUUGAAGUGUUUUUUACUUUAUUGUAAUAAAGCAUAUUCAGGACUUUUACUUUGAGAAAAUUAGAGUGUUUCUAGCAGGCCGACGCUUUGAAUACUGCAGCAUGGAAUAAUAA
rnacentral:rRNA from 1 species